rnacentral:rRNA from 1 species
GACGAAUGCUGGCUGCGUGCUUAACACAUGCAAGUCGAACGGUGAACAGGGGCUUGCCCCUGGGAUCAGUGGCGAACGGGUGAGUAACACGUGGGCAACCUGCCCCUCACUCUGGGAUAACUCCGGGAAACCGGGGCUAAUACCGGAUACGACCUGGUGCGACAUCGCACCGGGUGGAAAGAACUUCGGUGAGGGAUGGGCCCGCGGCCUAUCAGCUAGUUGGUGAGGUAACGGCUCACCAAGGCGACGACGGGUAGCCGGCCUGAGAGGGCGACCGGCCACACUGGGACUGAGACACGGCCCAGACUCCUACGGGAGGCAGCAGUGGGGAAUAUUGCGCAAUGGGCGAAAGCCUGACGCAGCGACGCAGCGUGAGGGACGAAGGCCUUCGGGUUGUAAACCUCUUUCAGCGGGGACGAAGCGAAAGUGACGGUACCCGCAGAAGAAGCACCGGCUAACUACGUGCCAGCAGCCGCAGUAACAC